rnacentral:rRNA from 1 species
UUAAGUUAUUAAGGGCGCACGGUGGAUGCCUUGGCACUAGAAGCCGAUGAAGGACGUUACUAACGACGAUAUGCUUUGGGGAGCUGUAAGUAAGCUUUGAUCCAGAGAUUUCCGAAUGGGGAAACCCAGCAUGAGUUAUGUCAUGUUAUCGAUAUGUGAAUACAUAGCAUAUCAGAAGGCACACCCGGAGAACUGAAACAUCUUAGUACCCGGAGGAAGAGAAAGAAAAUUCGAUUCCCUUAGUAGCGGCGAGCGAAACGGGAAGAGCCCAAACCAACAAGCUUGCUUGUUGGGGUUGUAGGACACUCUAUACGGAGUUACAAAGGACGACAUUAGACGAAUCAUCUGGAAAGAUGAAUCAAAGAAGGUAAUAAUCCUGUAGUCGAAAAUGUUGUCUCUCUUGAGUGGAUCCUGAGUACGACGGAGCACGUGAAAUUCCGUCGGAAUCUGGGAGGACCAUCUCCUAAGGCUAAAUACUCUCUAGUGACCGAUAGUGAACCAGUACCGUGAGGGAAAGGUGAAAAGCACCCCGGAAGGGGAGUGAAAUAGAACCUGAAACCGUGUGCUUACAAGUAGUCAGAGCCCGUUAAUGGGUGAUGGCGUGCCUUUUGUAGAAUGAACCGGCGAGUUACGAUUUGAUGCAAGGUUAAGCAGUAAAUGUGGAGCCGUAGCGAAAGCGAGUCUGAAUAGGGCGUUUAGUAUUUGGUCGUAGACCCGAAACCAGGUGAUCUACCCUUGGUCAGGUUGAAGUUCAGGUAACACUGAAUGGAGGACCGAACCGACUUACGUUGAAAAGAGAGCGGAGGAAUUGAGGGUAGCGGAGAAAUUCCAAUCGAACCUGGAGAUAGCUGGUUCUCUCCGAAAUAGCUUUAGGGCUAGCCUCAAGUGAUGAUUAUUGGAGGUAGAGCACUGUUUGGACGAGGGGCCCCUCUCGGGUUACCGAAUUCAGACAAACUCCGAAUGCCAAUUAAUUUAACUUGGGAGUCAGAACAUGGGUGAUAAGGUCCGUGUUCGAAAGGGAAACAGCCCAGACCACCAGCUAAGGUCCCAAAAUAUAUGUUAAGUGGAAAAGGAUGUGGCGUUGCCCAGACAACUAGGAUGUUGGCUUAGAAGCAGCCAUCAUUUAAAGAGUGCGUAAUAGCUCACUAGUCGAGUGACACUGCGCCGAAAAUGUACCGGGGCUAAACAUAUUACCGAAGCUGUGGAUUGUCCUUUGGACAAUGGUAGGAGAGCGUUCUAAGGGCGUUGAAGCAUGAUCGUAAGGACAUGUGGAGCGCUUAGAAGUGAGAAUGCCGGUGUGAGUAGCGAAAGACGGGUGAGAAUCCCGUCCACCGAUUGACUAAGGUUUCCAGAGGAAGGCUCGUCCGCUCUGGGUUAGUCGGGUCCUAAGCUGAGGCCGACAGGCGUAGGCGAUGGAUAACAGGUUGAUAUUCCUGUACCACCUAUAAUCGUUUUAAUCGAUGGGGGGACGCAGUAGGAUAGGCGAAGCGUGCGAUUGGAUUGCACGUCUAAGCAGUAAGGCUGAGUAUUAGGCAAAUCCGGUACUCGUUAAGGCUGAGCUGUGAUGGGGAGAAGACAUUGUGUCUUCGAGUCGUUGAUUUCACACUGCCGAGAAAAGCCUCUAGAUAGAAAAUAGGUGCCCGUACCGCAAACCGACACAGGUAGUCAAGAUGAGAAUUCUAAGGUGAGCGAGCGAACUCUCGUUAAGGAACUCGGCAAAAUGACCCCGUAACUUCGGGAGAAGGGGUGCUCUUUAGGGUUAACGCCCAGAAGAGCCGCAGUGAAUAGGCCCAAGCGACUGUUUAUCAAAAACACAGGUCUCUGCUAAACCGUAAGGUGAUGUAUAGGGGCUGACGCCUGCCCGGUGCUGGAAGGUUAAGAGGAGUGGUUAGCUUCUGCGAAGCUACGAAUCGAAGCCCCAGUAAACGGCGGCCGUAACUAUAACGGUCCUAAGGUAGCGAAAUUCCUUGUCGGGUAAGUUCCGACCCGCACGAAAGGCGUAACGAUUUGGGCACUGUCUCAACGAGAGACUCGGUGAAAUCAUAGUACCUGUGAAGAUGCAGGUUACCCGCGACAGGACGGAAAGACCCCGUGGAGCUUUACUGUAGCCUGAUAUUGAAAUUCGGCACAGCUUGUACAGGAUAGGUAGGAGCCUUUGAAACGUGAGCGCUAGCUUACGUGGAGGCGCUGGUGGGAUACUACCCUAGCUGUGUUGGCUUUCUAACCCGCACCACUUAUCGUGGUGGGAGACAGUGUCAGGCGGGCAGUUUGACUGGGGCGGUCGCCUCCUAAAAGGUAACGGAGGCGCUCAAAGGUUCCCUCAGAAUGGUUGGAAAUCAUUCAUAGAGUGUAAAGGCAUAAGGGAGCUUGACUGCGAGACCUACAAGUCGAGCAGGGUCGAAAGACGGACUUAGUGAUCCGGUGGUUCCGCAUGGAAGGGCCAUCGCUCAACGGAUAAAAGCUACCCCGGGGAUAACAGGCUUAUCUCCCCCAAGAGUUCACAUCGACGGGGAGGUUUGGCACCUCGAUGUCGGCUCAUCGCAUCCUGGGGCUGUAGUCGGUCCCAAGGGUUGGGCUGUUCGCCCAUUAAAGCGGUACGCGAGCUGGGUUCAGAACGUCGUGAGACAGUUCGGUCCCUAUCCGUCGUGGGCGUAGGAAAUUUGAGAGGAGCUGUCCUUAGUACGAGAGGACCGGGAUGGACAUACCUCUGGUGUACCAGUUGUCGUGCCAACGGCAUAGCUGGGUAGCUAUGUGUGGACGGGAUAAGUGCUGAAAGCAUCUAAGCAUGAAGCCCCCCUCAAGAUGAGAUUUCCCAACUUCGGUUAUAAGAUCCCUCAAAGAUGAUGAGGUUAAUAGGUUCGAGGUGGAAGCAUGGUGACAUGUGGAGCUGACGAAUACUAAUCGAUCGAAGACUUAAUCAA